AUGCCAUAUUGGGGAACACACUUCGAAGCAAAGGAAAACUGAAAAAUAUCUGGACCCAAUGGCUGUGAACCAACAUGAAGGUUGUCCAGCUUAUUGCAUCUAUGGUCUCAACUUCAGGAAUUCAUUCUUGAUUUUGUACAGCCAAAAUUGACUAAGCUGUAAUAUGGUUUCUUGCUCCAGUUCCCUGAGGCCAAAAGGUCUUUGUGAUGCGCUCCAAGACUGUUCCAGAAUUUGCCCUCCUUAAAAAGUACUAAAACUGGAAUGAAUAAUGAAUGAUGAAAAUGUUUUCAAAUCGCAUAGACUAGCUGAUGGGAAAGGAACUUGGAAGGCAGCCUUGAAAACUGCAGUUCUCACUAUACACACUUUCACAAAACUCACUGCAUAAAUGUAGCUCUCCGUUUAAAGAGGAUGAGCCACCACUGCUAAAAAUCACGAUGUUACAUUUGCGCAAGAGAACGCGCAGGAUAUUCUCACUGGUGCAGCAUCUCAGGGGAGUUCCACUCAUGAAGUUGCAUUACACAUGGCUAUGAAUGGCUGGGACAGGACAGAGGAAUGCCACCUUUAAGCAUAAUGCAAAUAAUGCAAAAAGUCCUCUUGCUACCCUAUUUUAGUUCUUUAAAGGGAAAACUGGGGAGUGAAAUGGGAGCUACUGUUGUGCCCUUGCUACUGCUGUGCUGUGUAAAGUGAAGAGACCUUUCUAGGUUUUUUUUGAUAGUUGUCCUUAGUUAGCAUUAAUAUCCAGUUCACAUUCCUAGAUUGAGUCACGGUGCCCUACUGCCUGGUCAAGAUGGUAGUAAUAAGGGCUGAAAGAAACGGUUUAAUUCUGGUCAGAGAGGGAGUUCUGGUCAACUGAGUUCUUAUUUAACAGGAAUGCUGCCUGUCCCUAUAUUGGCUUGCUUCUUUCCAAGGCUGCUGUUGUAAAGAAACAGUUAUCACAAAAUCACAGAUGGCGUACU